rnacentral:rRNA from 1 species
GAUGAACGCUGACGGCGUGCCUAAUACAUGCAAGUCGAGCGAACAGACGAGGAGCUUGCUCCUUUGACGUUAGCGGCGGACGGGUGAGUAACACGUGGAUAACCUACCUAUAAGACUGGGAUAACUUCGGGAAACCGGAGCUAAUACCGGAUAACAUGUUGAACCGCAUGGUUCAACAGUGAAAGACGGUCUUGCUGUCACUUAUAGAUGGAUCCGCGCCGCAUUAGCUAGUUGGUAAGGUAACGGCUUACCAAGGCAACGAUGCGUAGCCGACCUGAGAGGGUGAUCGGCCACACUGGAACUGAGACACGGUCCAGACUCCUACGGGAGGCAGCAGUAGGGAAUCUUCCGCAAUGGGCGAAAGCCUGACGGAGCAACGCCGCGUGAGUGAAGAAGGUCUUCGGAUCGUAAAACUCUGUUAUUAGGGAAGAACAAAUGUGUAAGUAACUAUGCACGUCUUGACGGUACCUAAUCAGAAAGCCACGGCUAACUACGUG